rnacentral:rRNA from 1 species
CCUACGGGAGGCAGCAGUGGGGAAUAUUGCACAAUGGGGGGAACCCUGAUGCAGCGACGCCGCGUGGGUGAGGAAGUACUUCGGUAUGUAAAGCCCUAUCAGCAGGGAAGAAAAUGACGGUACCUGACUAAGAAGCCCCGGCUAACUACGUGCCAGCCGCCGCGGUAAUACGUAGGGGGCAAGCGUUAUCCGGAUUUACUGGGUGUAAAGGGAGCGUAGACGGCGUGCCAAGUCUGGUGUGAAAGGCCGGGGCUCAACCCCGGGACUGCAUUGGAAACUGGCAGGCUGGAGUGCAGGAGGGGCAAGCGGAAUUCCUAGUGUAGCGGUGAAAUGCGUAGAGAUUAGGAGGAACACCGGUGGCGAAGGCGGCUUGCUGGACGGUAACUGACGUUGAGGCUCGAAAGCGUGGGGAGCAAACAGGAUUAGAUACCCCAGUAGUC